rnacentral:rRNA from 1 species
AGGGUGCAAGCGUUAUCCGGAUUCACUGGGUUUAAAGGGUGCGUAGGUGGGUUGAUAAGUCAGUGGUGAAAUCCCCGGGCUUAACUUGGGAACUGCCAUUGAUACUAUUGAUCUUGAAUACCGUGGAGGUCAGCGGAAUAUGUCAUGUAGCGGUGAAAUGCUUAGAUAUGGCAUAGAACACCAAUUGCGAAGGCAGCUGGCUACGCGAAUAUUGACACUGAUGCACGAAAGCGUGGGGAUCAAACAGG